rnacentral:lncRNA from 1 species
GUUCUUUGGCUCGCUGGUUGAAGAUAUAAAAAACAAAAUUAAAGAAGUAAUUGCAGACAUUUUGGGUCUCUCUUCUCCAUCUGGUGGGUCUUCUGGUAGUGCUGGUAGUGGCUCAUCACAAGGCAGUGGCAGUAGCUCACAGACACAAAGAAACUCACACAGACGCUUUUAUAGAGCUCCAGAGGGCAGAAAACACGAAAAGUAUCAGAAUGAUGACUUUGACCUUUGACUUAAUUAUGCUGACACGGAAAGCUCAUCAUCCAGAGCUAAUUGCAACACUCUUGGAUAGCGGCUAAAGUCAAUCACGGCUAUUCGAAACUAACGCAAAAUUUAUUUUACUAAUAAAUAAAAUUAUUACAG